rnacentral:rRNA from 1 species
UACGAAGGGGGCUAGCGUUGCUCGGAAUCACUGGGCGUAAAGCGCACGUAGGCGGCUUUUUAAGUCAGAGGUGAAAUCCUGGAGCUCAACUCCAGAACUGCCUUUGAUACUGAGAAGCUUGAGUCCGGGAGAGGUGAGUGGAACUGCGGGUGUAGAGGUGAAAUUCGUAGAUAUUCGCAAGAACACCAGUGGCGAAGGCGGCUCACUGGUCCGGUACUGACGCUGAGGUGCGAAAGCGUGGGGAGCAAACAGG